rnacentral:rRNA from 1 species
CUGAUACGGUUCCGUUAGAUCAUGCACGUCGAGCGUACUGAUUAGAAGCUUGCUUCUAUGACGUUAGCGGCGGACGGGUGAGUAACACGUGGGCAACCUGCCUGUAAGACUGGGAUAACUUCGGGAAACCGAAGCUAAUACCGGAUAGGAUCUUCUCCUUCAUGGGAGAUGAUUGAAAGAUGGUUUCGGCUAUCACUUACAGAUGGGCCCGCGGUGCAUUAGCUAGUUGGUGAGGUAACGGCUCACCAAGGCAACGAUGCAUAGCCGACCUGAGAGGGUGAUCGGCCACACUGGGACUGAGACACGGCCCAGACUCCUACGGGAGGCAGCAGUAGGGAAUCUUCCGCAAUGGACGAAAGUCUGACGGAGCAACGCCGCGUGAGUGAUGAAGGCUUUCGGGUCGUAAAACUCUGUUGUUAGGGAAAAACAAGUACGAGAGUAACUGCUCGUACCUUGACGGUACCUAACCAGAAAGCCACGGCUAACUACGUGCCAGCAGCCGCGGUAAUACGUAGGUGGCAAGCGUUAUCCGGAAUUAUUGGGCGUAAAGCGCGCGCAGGCGGUUUCUUAAGUCUGAUGUGAAAGCCCACGGCUCAACCGUGGAGGGUCAUUGGAAACUGGGGAACUUGAUUGCAGAAGAGAGAAGCGGAAUUCCUCGUGUAGCGGUGAAAUGUUUAUAGAUGUGGAGGAACACCAGUGAU